rnacentral:rRNA from 1 species
AGAGUUUGAUCAUGGCUCAGAUUGAACGCUGGCGGCAGGCCUAACACAUGCAAGUCGAACGGUAACAGGAAGCAGCUUGCUGCUUUGCUGACGAGUGGCGGACGGGUGAGUAAUGUCUGGGAAACUGCCUGAUGGAGGGGGAUAACUACUGGAAACGGUAGCUAAUACCGCAUAACGUCGCAAGACCAAAGAGGGGGACCUUCGGGCCUCUUGCCAUCGGAUGUGCCCAGAUGGGAUUAGCUAGUAGGUGGGGUAACGGCUCACCUAGGCGACGAUCCCUAGCUGGUCUGAGAGGAUGACCAGCCACACUGGAACUGAGACACGGUCCAGACUCCUACGGGAGGCAGCAGUGGGGAAUAUUGCACAAUGGGCGCAAGCCUGAUGCAGCCAUGCCGCGUGUAUGAAGAAGGCCUUCGGGUUGUAAAGUACUUUCAGCGGGGAGGAAGGGAGUAAAGUUAAUACCUUUGCUCAUUGACGUUACCCGCAGAAGAAGCACCGGCUAACUCCGUGCCAGCAGCCGCGGUAAUACGGAGGGUGCAAGCGUUAAUCGGAAUUACUGGGCGUAAAGCGCACGCAGGCGGUUUGUUAAGUCAGAUGUGAAAUCCCCGGGCUCAACCUGGGAACUGCAUCUGAUACUGGCAAGCUUGAGUCUCGUAGAGGGGGGUAGAAUUCCAGGUGUAGCGGUGAAAUGCGUAGAGAUCUGGAGGAAUACCGGUGGCGAAGGCGGCCCCCUGGACGAAGACUGACGCUCAGGUGCGAAAGCGUGGGAGCAAACAGGAUUAGAUACCCUGGUAGUCCACGCCGUAAACGAUGUCGACUUGGAGGUUGUGCCCUUGAGGCGUGGCUUCCGGAGCUAACGCGUUAAGUCGACCGCCUGGGGAGUACGGCCGCAAGGUUAAAACUCAAAUGAAUUGACGGGGGCCCGCACAAGCGGUGGAGCAUGUGGUUUAAUUCGAUGCAACGCGAAGAACCUUACCUGGUCUUGACAUCCACGGAAGUUUUCAGAGAUGAGAAUGUGCCUUCGGGAACCGUGAGACAGGUGCUGCAUGGCUGUCGUCAGCUCGUGUUGUGAAAUGUUGGGUUAAGUCCCGCAACGAGCGCAACCCUUAUCCUUUGUUGCCAGCGGUCCGGCCGGGAACUCAAAGGAGACUGCCAGUGAUAAACUGGAGGAAGGUGGGGAUGACGUCAAGUCAUCAUGGCCCUUACGACCAGGGCUACACACGUGCUACAAUGGCGCAUACAAAGAGAAGCGACCUCGCGAGAGCAAGCGGACCUCAUAAAGUGCGUCGUAGUCCGGAUUGGAGUCUGCAACUCGACUCCAUGAAGUCGGAAUCGCUAGUAAUCGUGGAUCAGAAUGCCACGGUGAAUACGUUCCCGGGCCUUGUACACACCGCCCGUCACACCAUGGGAGUGGGUUGCAAAAGAAGUAGGUAGCUUAACCUUCGGGAGGGCGCUUACCACUUUGUGAUUCAUGACUGGGGUGAAGUCGUAACAAGGUAACCGUAGGGGAACCUGCGGUUGGAUCACCU